CCAUAACCCUGAUGGCAGUGGAAAUCCUCCCGAUUUUUUUUCGGGAGAUUACUUCACAUCCUUAUUAUUUUCAUCAGAGUUCAGUGAACUUUGUUUGCAACGUACAGCAGGAAUUGCA
rnacentral:misc_RNA from 1 species